rnacentral:rRNA from 1 species
GACGGAAGGUGCAAGCGUUGCUCGGAAUCACUGGGCGUAAAGGGUGCGUAGGCGGCUUGGUGGGUCUGUCGUGAAAGCCCCGGGCUCAGCCCGGGAAGGGCGCUAGAAACUGCCGAGCUCGAGUGCCGGAGGGGAGAGUGGAAUUCCAGGUGUAGCGGUGAAAUGCGUAGAUAUCAGGAGGAAUACCGGUGGCGAAAGCGACUCUCUGGACGGCAACUGACGCUGAGGCACGAAAGCGUGGGGAGCAAACAGG